rnacentral:lncRNA from 1 species
AAGAAUACAAACUGAUGGCAGAAGUCAGAGGCAGGGAUAAGCACUGGACUUGACUUCAGCUUUCCUGGCCACCUCAGCUUUUGCAUCCUUGCCAGGGAGACAGCUACGCACAACAAACAGCAUCUGAUCUGAUCUUCUUAAUACGUUUGGAUCAGCUGGACCAUUGCACCUGGCCUUGGGUCCUGGAGGGAAUCCCAAGUGCAUUCUUCAUGACCCUUAACAGACCCCGAUUUGAGGCCAGCCUGGGCACCAAUCCUCCUGCCUCAGUCUCUUGAAUGCUGGAAAUAGAAGGUGAGCAUGUCCACGUCUGGGUGGUCCCAAGUAUUUUGGAUAAGGGAUAGUCUACCUGUAUUAAAAACCAAGAUUUGUUAG